rnacentral:rRNA from 1 species
CCUACGGGGGGCUGCAGUCGAGAAUCAUUCACAAUGGGGGAAACCCUGAUGGUGCGACGCCGCGUGGGGGAAUGAAGGUCUUCGGAUUGUAAACCCCUGUCAUGUGGGAGCAAAUUAAAAAGAUAGUACCACAAGAGGAAGCGACGGCUAACUCUGCGCCAGCAGCCGCGGUAAUACAGAGGUCUCAAGCGUGGUUCGGAAUCACUGGGCGUAAAGCGUGCGUAGGCUGUUUCGUAAGUCGUGUGUGAAAGGCGCGGGCUCAACCCGCGGACGGCACAUGAUACUGCGAGACUAGAGUAAGGGAGGGGGAAGCGGAAUUCUCGGUGUAGCAGUGAAAUGCGUAGAUAUCGAGAGGAACACUCGUGGCGAAGGCGGGUUCCUGGACAUUAACUGACGCUGAGGCACGAAGGCCAGGGGAGCGAAAGGGAUUAGAUACCCCAGUAGUC